rnacentral:rRNA from 1 species
CGGGUGAGUAACGCGUGGGUAACCUGCCCUGUACAGAGGAAUAGCCAUUGGAAACGAUGAUUAAUGCCUCAUAAGACCACACUACCGCAUGGUAGAGUGGUAAAAACUCCGGUGGUACAGGAUGGACCCGCGUUAGAUUAGUUAGUUGGUGAGGUAACGGCUCACCAAGACUGCGAUCUAUAGCCGACCUGAGAGGGUGAUCGGCCACACUGGAACUGAGACACGGUCCAG